rnacentral:rRNA from 1 species
GUUCCAUUGCCGCAGGGACUAACACAUGCAAGUCGAGCGGCAGCGCGAAAAGCACUCCGGUGUGAGUAGAGCGGCGGACUGGUGAGUAACGCGUAGGAAUUUGCCCAGUAGUGGGGGACAACAUGUGGAAACGCAUGCUAAUACCGCAUACGCCCUACGGGGGAAAGCAGGGGAUCUUCGGACCUUGCGCUAUUGGAGAAGCCUGCGUCGGAUUAGCUAGUUGGUGGGGUAAAGGCCCACCAAGGCGACGAUCCGUAGCUGGUCUGAGAGGAUGAUCAGCCACACUGGGACUGAGACACGGCCCAGACUCCUACGGGAGGCAGCAGUGGGGAAUAUUGGACAAUGGGCGAAAGCCUGAUCCAGCCAUGCCGCGUGUGUGAAGAAGGCCUUAGGGUUGUAAAGCACUUUCAGUAGGGAGGAAAAGUUAGUCGUUAAUAGCGGCUAACCCUGACACGUUGCCUACAGAAGACGCAGCCAAACUCCGUGCCAGCAGCCGCGGUAAUACGGAGGGUGCGAGCGUUAAUCGGAAUUACUGGGCGUAAAGCGCGCGUAGGCGGCCUGAUAAGUUGGAUGUGAAAGCCCUGGGCUCAACCUAGGAACUGCAUUCAAAACUGUCAGGCUAGAGUAUGGUAGAGGAUAGUGGAAUUUCCGGUGUAGCGGUGAAAUGCGUAGAUAUCAGAAGGAACACCAGUGGCGAAGGCGACUUUCUGGGCUGAUACUGACGCUGAGGUACGAAAGCGUGGGGAGCAAACGGGAUUAGAUACCCUGGUAGUCCACGCCGUAAACGAUGUCUACUAGCCGUUGGGAGACUUGAUCUCUUAGUGGCGCAGCUAACGCAAUAAGUAGACCGCCUGGGGAGUACGGCCGCAAGGUUAAAACUCAAAUGAAUUGACGGGGGCCCGCACAAGCGGUGGAGCAUGUGGUUUAAUUCGAUGCAACGCGAAGAACCUUACCUGGUCUUGACAUCCUACGAACUUACUAGAGAUAGUUUGGUGCCUUCGGGAACGUAGUGACAGGUGCUGCUGGGCUGUCGUCAGCUCGUGUUGUGAAAUGUUGGGUUCAGUCCCGUAACGACCGCAACCCUUAUCCUUAUUUGCCAGCGAUUCGGUCGGGAACUCUAGAGAGACUGCCGGUGAUAAACCGGAGGAAGGUGGGGAUGACGUCAAGUCAUCAUGGCCCUUACGGCCAGGGCUACACACGUGCUACAAUGGAUAAUACAGAGGGUUGCGAAGCCGCGAGGUGUAGCUAAUCCCAUAAAACCGUUCGUAGUCCGGAUUGGAGUCUGCAACUCGACUCCAUGAAGUCGGAAUCGCUAGUAAUCGUGAAUCAGAAUGUCACGGUGAAUACGUUCCCGGGCCUUGUACACACCGCCCGUCACACCAUGGGAGUGGGUUGUACCAGAAGUAGGUAGUCUAACCGCGGAGGGCGAUCACCACGGUGUGGUUCAUGACUGGGGGAAGUCGAACAAGGAGCCAAGGC